UACGUAGGGUGCGAGCGUUGUCCGGAAUUAUUGGGCGUAAAGAGCUCGUAGGCGGUUUGUUGCGUCGGCCGUGAAAACCUGCAGCUUAACUGUGGGCCUGCGGCCGAUACGGGCAGACUUGAGUUCGGUAGGGGAGACUGGAAUUCCCGGUGUAGCGGUGAAAUGCGCAGAUAUCAGGAGGAACACCGGUGGCGAAGGCGGGUCUCUGGGCCGAUACUGACGCUGAGGAGCGAAAGCGUGGGGAGCGAACAGG
rnacentral:rRNA from 1 species